rnacentral:rRNA from 1 species
UACAGAGGUCUCAAGCGUUGUUCGGAUUCAUUGGGCGUAAAGGGUGCGUAGGCGGCGCGGUAAGUCGGGUGUGAAAUUUCGAGGCUUAACUUCGAAACUGCAUUCGAUACUGCCGUGCUUGAGGACUGGAGAGGAGACUGGAAUUUACGGUGUAGCGGUGAAAUGCGUAGAUAUCGUAAGGAAGACCAGUGGCGAAGGCGGGUCUCUGGACAGUUCCUGACGCUGAGGCACGAAGGCCAGGGGAGCAGACGGG